UACGGGGGGGGCAAGCGUUGUUCGGAAUUACUGGGCGUAAAGGGCGCGUAGGCGGUUUGCUAAGUUGAAUGUGAAAACUCUGGGCUUAACCCAGAGCCUGCAUCCAAAACUGGCAGACUUGAGUACUGGAGGGGAAAGCGGAAUUCCUGGUGUAGCGGUGAAAUGCGUAGAUAUCAGGAGGAACACCGGUGGCGAAGGCGGGUCUCUGGACAGUUCUUGACGCUGAGGCACGAAGGCCAGGGGAGCAAACGGG
rnacentral:rRNA from 1 species